AGAUUAAGUUAUUAAGGGCGCACGGUGGAUGCCUUGGCACUAGAAGCCGAUGAAGGACGUUACUAACGACGAUAUGCUUUGGGGAGCUGUAAGUAAGCUUUGAUCCAGAGAUUUCCGAAUGGGGAAACCCAGCAUGAGUUAUGUCAUGUUAUCGAUAUGUGAAUACAUAGCAUAUCAGAAGGCACACCCGGAGAACUGAAACAUCUUAGUACCCGGAGGAAGAGAAAGAAAAUUCGAUUCCCUUAGUAGCGGCGAGCGAAACGGGAAGAGCCCAAACCAACAAGCUUGCUUGUUGGGGUUGUAGGACACUCUAUACGGAGUUACAAAGGACGACAUUAGACGAAUCAUCUGGAAAGAUGAAUCAAAGAAGGUAAUAAUCCUGUAGUCGAAAAUGUUGUCUCUCUUGAGUGGAUCCUGAGUACGACGGAGCACGUGAAAUUCCGUCGGAAUCUGGGAGGACCAUCUCCUAAGGCUAAAUACUCUCUAGUGACCGAUAGUGAACCAGUACCGUGAGGGAAAGGUGAAAAGCACCCCGGAAGGGGAGUGAAAUAGAACCUGAAACCGUGUGCUUACAAGUAGUCAGAGCCCGUUAAUGGGUGAUGGCGUGCCUUUUGUAGAAUGAACCGGCGAGUUACGAUUUGAUGCAAGGUUAAGCAGUAAAUGUGGAGCCGUAGCGAAAGCGAGUCUGAAUAGGGCGUUUAGUAUUUGGUCGUAGACCCGAAACCAGGUGAUCUACCCUUGGUCAGGUUGAAGUUCAGGUAACACUGAAUGGAGGACCGAACCGACUUACGUUGAAAAGUGAGCGGAUGAACUGAGGGUAGCGGAGAAAUUCCAAUCGAACCUGGAGAUAGCUGGUUCUCUCCGAAAUAGCUUUAGGGCUAGCCUCAAGUGAUGAUUAUUGGAGGUAGAGCACUGUUUGGACGAGGGGCCCCUCUCGGGUUACCGAAUUCAGACAAACUCCGAAUGCCAAUUAAUUUAACUUGGGAGUCAGAACAUGGGUGAUAAGGUCCGUGUUCGAAAGGGAAACAGCCCAGACCACCAGCUAAGGUCCCAAAAUAUAUGUUAAGUGGAAAAGGAUGUGGCGUUGCCCAGACAACUAGGAUGUUGGCUUAGAAGCAGCCAUCAUUUAAAGAGUGCGUAAUAGCUCACUAGUCGAGUGACACUGCGCCGAAAAUGUACCGGGGCUAAACAUAUUACCGAAGCUGUGGAUUGUCCUUUGGACAAUGGUAGGAGAGCGUUCUAAGGGCGUUGAAGCAUGAUCGUAAGGACAUGUGGAGCGCUUAGAAGUGAGAAUGCCGGUGUGAGUAGCGAAAGACGGGUGAGAAUCCCGUCCACCGAUUGACUAAGGUUUCCAGAGGAAGGCUCGUCCGCUCUGGGUUAGUCGGGUCCUAAGCUGAGGCCGACAGGCGUAGGCGAUGGAUAACAGGUUGAUAUUCCUGUACCACCUAUAAUCGUUUUAAUCGAUGGGGGGACGCAGUAGGAUAGGCGAAGCGUGCGAUUGGAUUGCACGUCUAAGCAGUAAGGCUGAGUAUUAGGCAAAUCCGGUACUCGUUAAGGCUGAGCUGUGAUGGGGAGAAGACAUUGUGUCUUCGAGUCGUUGAUUUCACACUGCCGAGAAAAGCCUCUAGAUAGAAAAUAGGUGCCCGUACCGCAAACCGACACAGGUAGUCAAGAUGAGAAUUCUAAGGUGAGCGAGCGAACUCUCGUUAAGGAACUCGGCAAAAUGACCCCGUAACUUCGGGAGAAGGGGUGCUCUUUAGGGUUAACGCCCAGAAGAGCCGCAGUGAAUAGGCCCAAGCGACUGUUUAUCAAAAACACAGGUCUCUGCUAAACCGUAAGGUGAUGUAUAGGGGCUGACGCCUGCCCGGUGCUGGAAGGUUAAGAGGAGUGGUUAGCUUCUGCGAAGCUACGAAUCGAAGCCCCAGUAAACGGCGGCCGUAACUAUAACGGUCCUAAGGUAGCGAAAUUCCUUGUCGGGUAAGUUCCGACCCGCACGAAAGGCGUAACGAUUUGGGCACUGUCUCAACGAGAGACUCGGUGAAAUCAUAGUACCUGUGAAGAUGCAGGUUACCCGCGACAGGACGGAAAGACCCCGUGGAGCUUUACUGUAGCCUGAUAUUGAAAUUCGGCACAGCUUGUACAGGAUAGGUAGGAGCCUUUGAAACGUGAGCGCUAGCUUACGUGGAGGCGCUGGUGGGAUACUACCCUAGCUGUGUUGGCUUUCUAACCCGCACCACUUAUCGUGGUGGGAGACAGUGUCAGGCGGGCAGUUUGACUGGGGCGGUCGCCUCCUAAAAGGUAACGGAGGCGCUCAAAGGUUCCCUCAGAAUGGUUGGAAAUCAUUCAUAGAGUGUAAAGGCAUAAGGGAGCUUGACUGCGAGACCUACAAGUCGAGCAGGGUCGAAAGACGGACUUAGUGAUCCGGUGGUUCCGCAUGGAAGGGCCAUCGCUCAACGGAUAAAAGCUACCCCGGGGAUAACAGGCUUAUCUCCCCCAAGAGUUCACAUCGACGGGGAGGUUUGGCACCUCGAUGUCGGCUCAUCGCAUCCUGGGGCUGUAGUCGGUCCCAAGGGUUGGGCUGUUCGCCCAUUAAAGCGGUACGCGAGCUGGGUUCAGAACGUCGUGAGACAGUUCGGUCCCUAUCCGUCGUGGGCGUAGGAAAUUUGAGAGGAGCUGUCCUUAGUACGAGAGGACCGGGAUGGACAUACCUCUGGUGUACCAGUUGUCGUGCCAACGGCAUAGCUGGGUAGCUAUGUGUGGACGGGAUAAGUGCUGAAAGCAUCUAAGCAUGAAGCCCCCCUCACGAUGAGAUUUCCCAACUUCGGCUAUAAGAUCCCUCAAAGAUGAUGAGGUUAUUAGGUUCGAGGUGGAAGCAUGGUGACAUGUGGAGCUGACGAAUACUAAUCGAUUGAAGACUUAAUCAAAA
rnacentral:rRNA from 1 species